rfam:Picea glauca, whole genome shotgun sequence.
UAUGUUGUAGUCUAGUUGGUUAGGAUACUAGGCUCUCACCCGAGAGACCUAGGUUCAAGUCCCGACAAUGAAA